UAAACUGAGCCCUAGGUUUGUUGGACCUUUUGAAAUUCUGGAAAAAGUUGGGCAAGUGGCUUAUAGGUUAGCCUUACCUCCAGCAUUAUCAGCAGUACAUAAUGUAUUUCAUGUUUCUAUGCUGAGGAAGUAUGUGUCUGAUCCAAUGCACGUUCUGAGAUAUGAAACAUUGGAGUUGCAACCUGAUUUAUCAUAUGACGAACAACCAGUGCAAAUUCUGGAUAAAAAGGAAAAGGUUCUCCGAACCAAAACCAUAUCACUGGUCAAGGUACUUUGGAGAAAUAGUAAAGUGGAAGAAGCCACUUGGGAAUUAGAAUCUGAUAUGAGGGCCCAGCAUCCUGAGUUAUUCAGGUAGAUUUCGGGGGCGAAAUCCUUUUAACGGGGGGAUAAUUGUAAAGACCGCAUAUGAUUAAUAUUUUGAAUUAUUAAAUAAUUAGGGUUUAUGUAUGAGAUUUUAUUAUUAUCAAUAAUAUUAUGAUUAUGGAAAUUUAUUUGAGUGCAUAUAUAUUUAUUAUGCUGUCUAUGUAAUUUCUCAAUUUCUGUGAUUGUGUUCGGAAGCUGUGGAAAGCGACGUUGGGCCAUAGAGAGUCGCAUUUUAUAAUUUAGAAUUUAUUCGGGAAAUCAUUGCUAAGUUUUAGCGGAGUUGGUAUUUUCGGGGUGUGGUAAAUGACCAAUUUGCCCUUGGGAGUUGGUGACUAGCUUUAUUAGUUAGAAGGGUAAUUAGGUCUUUUCUUUUUAAAACCCUUGUUUUGGCUUUUAGUGUUUAAUGGCUGCCUUUUUAUUUUGUUGACUUUGAUUUUAAAAUUAAUUAAUUAAGAAAAGAAAGAAAUCAAGGAAGAUAAGUUAGAAGAAGCUUAGUAGUGAAGUUUCUAUCUUCAUCUCACUUUCCCUCUCUCUUUCGAUCCAUCAACCAGCAAGGAAGGAGAUUAUUUCUUGCUGAAAUCUUUGAAUUCUAAUUGAGUUUGAAGUUCCAAUUCAAGGGCCCUGUAAAACGUCGAGCUGCACUUCCACUCAGGCUGACCGGCACACUUGAGCAAAGAACGAGGUAAAGGAAAAGCAAAGCUGGAGGAACAGUGAGGUGGAACUCGGCAUGAUUGUACAUAUCGCGGCAGUGCAACCCGGAGGGUUUCGAUCUUAUAUUAUUUUGAGUCUGUAUUUUGGAAAUGCAUGUCCGCUAAACUUUAAAAAAAAAAAAAUAUAUGUAUAUGUACAUAUUAGUAAAAUAUUUUAAACUAGUAUUUUGAUACUCGGGAUCCCGAUCCGCAUGUUUAUUAAUAUACAAAUUAUUAAAAUAAAUUUCCGAGUUUAUUAUUAUAAAAUGCG